CAGUAGGGAGGAAGGUAGUGUAGUUAACACCUGCAUUAUUUGACGUUACCUACAGAAGAAGCACCGGCUAACUCCGUGCCAGCAGCCGCGGUAAUACGGAGGGUGCGAGCGUUAAUCGGAAUUACUGGGCGUAAAAGCGCAUGCAGGCGGCCUGUUAAGUCAGAUGUGAAAAGCCCGGGCUUAAACCUCGGAAAUUGCAUUUGAAAAACUGGCAGGCUAGAGUCUUGUAGAGGGGGUAGAAUUUCAGGUGUAGCGGUGAAAAUGCGUAGAGAUCUGAAGGAAUACCAGUGGCGAAGGCGGCCCCCUGGACAAAGACUGACGCUCAGAUGCGAAAGCGUGGGGAGCAAACAGGAUUAGAUACCCUCGGUAG
rnacentral:rRNA from 1 species